CCUACGGGAGGCUGCAGUGGGGAAUAUUGGACAAUGGGGGCAACCCUGAUCCAGCCAUGCCGCGUGUGUGAAGAAGGCCCUCGGGUUGUAAAGCACUUUCAGUGAGGAAGAACGCCUGGUGGUUAAUACCCAUCAGGAAAGACAUCACUCACAGAAGAAGCACCGGCUAACUCCGUGCCAGCAGCCGCGGUAAUACGGAGGGUGCGAGCGUUAAUCGGAAUUACUGGGCGUAAAGCGCGCGUAGGUGGCUUGAUAAGCCGGUUGUGAAAGCCCCGGGCUCAACCUGGGAACGGCAUCCGGAACUGUCAAGCUAGAGUGCAGGAGAGGAAGGUAGAAUUCCCGGGGUAGCGGUGAAAUGCGUAGAGAUCGGGAGGAAUACCAGUGGCGAAGGCGGCCUUCUGGACUGACACUGACACUGAGGUGCGAAAGCGUGGGUAGCAAACAGGAUUAAUACCUGAGUAGUC
rnacentral:rRNA from 1 species